CUCAGGAUGAACGCUAGCUACAGGCUUAACACAUGCAAGUCGAGGGGAAACGACAUCGAAAGCUUGCUUUCGAUGGGCGUCGACCGGCGCACGGGUGAGUAACGCGUAUCCAACCUGCCCAUCACUUGGGGAUAACCUUGCGAAAGUAAGACUAAUACCCAAUGACGUCUCUAGAAGACAUCUGAAGGAGAUUAAAGAUUUAUCGGUGAUGGGUGGGGAUGCGUCUGAUUAGCUUGUUGGCGGGGUAACGGCCCACCAAGGCGACGAUCAGUAGGGGUUCUGAGAGGAAGGUCCCCCACAUUGGAACUGAGACACGGUCCAAACUCCUACGGGAGGCAGCAGUGAGGAAUAUUGGUCAAUGGACGAGAGUCUGAACCAGCCAAGUAGCGUGCAGGAUGACGGCCCUAUGGGUUGUAAACUGCUUUUAUAAGGGAAUAAAGUGAGCCUCGUGAGGCUUUUUGCAUGUACCUUAUGAAUAAGGACCGGCUAAUUCCGUGCCAGCAGCCGCGGUAAUACGGAAGGUCCGGGCGUUAUCCGGAUUUAUUGGGUUUAAAGGGAGCGUAGGCCGGAGAUUAAGCGUGUUGUGAAAUGUAGAUGCUCAACAUCUGCACUGCAGCGCGAACUGGUUUCCUUGAGUACGCACAAAGUGGGCGGAAUUCGUGGUGUAGCGGUGAAAUGCUUAGAUAUCACGAAGAACUCCGAUUGCGAAGGCAGCUCACUGGAGCGCAACUGACGCUGAAGCUCGAAAGUGCGGGUAUCGAACAGGAUUAGAUACCCUGGUAGUCCGCACGGUAAACGAUGGAUGCCCGCUGUUGGUCUGAAUAGGUCAGCGGCCAAGCGAAAGCAUUAAGCAUCCCACCUGGGGAGUACGCCGGCAACGGUGAAACUCAAAGGAAUUGACG
rnacentral:rRNA from 1 species